rnacentral:rRNA from 1 species
GUGUCAGCAGCCGCGGUAAUACGGGGGGUGCAAGCGUUGUUCGGAAUUAUUGGGCGUAAAGAGCGUGUAGGCGGCCGGAUGUGUCGGAUGUGAAAGCCCUGGGCUUAACCCAGGAAGUGCAUUUGAAACUGUCCGGCUCGAGUAGGGGAGAGGGAAGUGGAAUUCCUGGUGUAGAGGUGAAAUUCGUAGAUAUCAGGAGGAACACCGGUGGCGAAGGCGACUUCCUGGCCCUAUACUGACGCUGAGACGCGAGAGCGUGGGUAGCAAACAGGAUUAGAUACCCUGGUAGUCCACGCCGUAAACGAUGUUCACUAGGUGUUGGGGGUAUUGACCCCCUCAGUGCCGGAGCUAACGCAUUAAGUGAACCGCCUGGGGAGUACGGUCGCAAGACUAAAACUUAAAGGAAUUGACGGGG